GAUGAAGAACGUAGCGAAAUACGAUAAGUAAUGUGAAUUGCAGAAUUCAGUGAAUCAUCGAAUCUUUGAACGCACAUUGCGCCCGUCAGUAUUCUGGCGGGCAUGCCUGUUCGAGCGUCAUUACGCCCCUCAAGUCCCCUGUGGACUUGGUGUUGGGGAUCGGCGAGGCUGGUUUUCCAGCACAGCCGUCCCUUAAAUUAAUUGGCGGUCUCGCCGUGGCCCUCCUCUGCGCAGUAGUAAAACACUCGCAACAGGAGCCCGGCGCGGUCCACUGCCGUAAAACCCCCCAACUUUUUAUAGUUGACCUCGAAUCAGGUAGGACUACCCGCUGAACUUAAGCAUAUCAAUAAGCGGAGGA
rnacentral:misc_RNA from 1 species